rnacentral:rRNA from 1 species
GAUGAACGCUGGCGGCGUGCCUAAUACAUGCCAGUCGAGCGAACGGACGAGAAGCUUGCUUCUCUGAUGUUAGCGGCGGACGGGUGAGUAACACGUGGAUAACCUACCUAUAAGACUGGGAUAACUGCGGGAAACCGGAGCUAGUACCGGAUAAUAUUUUGAACCGCAUGGUUCAAAAGUGAAAGACGGUCUUGCUGUCACUUAUAGAUGGAUCCGCGCUGCAUUAGCUAGUUGGUAAGGUAACGGCUUACCAAGGCAACGAUGCAUAGCCGACCUGAGAGGGUGAUCGGCCACACUGGAACUGAGACACGGUCCAGACUCCUACGGGAGGCAGCAGUAGGGAAUCUUCCGCAAUGGGCGAAAGCCUGACGGAGCAACGCCGCGUGAGUGAUGAAGGUCUUCGGAUCGUAAAACUCUGUUAUUAGGGAAGAACAUAUGUGUAAGUAACUGUGCACAUCUUGACGGUACCUAAUCAGAAAGCCACGGCUAACUACGUG